GAAAUGCGAUAAGUAAUGUGAAUUGCAGAAUUCAGUGAAUCAUCGAAUCUUUGAACGCACAUUGCGCCCCUUGGUAUUCCGAGGGGCAUGCCUGUUCGAGCGUCAUUACACCACUCAAGCACUGCUUGGUAUUGGGCGUCUCGUCCCCUCACGGGGGCGCGCCUCAAAGACCUCGGCGAGGCCUCACCGGCUUUAGGCGUAGUAGAAUUUAUUCGAACGUCUGUCAAUGGAGAGGACUUCUGCCGAUCGAAGCCUUUAAAUUUUUCUAAGGUUGACCUCGGAUCAGGUAGGGAUACCCGCUGAACUUAAGC
rnacentral:misc_RNA from 1 species